rnacentral:rRNA from 3 species
GACGAACGCUGGCGGCGUGCCUAAUACAUGCAAGUCGAACGAACUCUGGUAUUGAUUGGUGCUUGCAUCAUGAUUUACAUUUGAGUGAGUGGCGAACUGGUGAGUAACACGUGGGAAACCUGCCCAGAAGCGGGGGAUAACACCUGGAAACAGAUGCUAAUACCGCAUAACAACUUGGACCGCAUGGUCCGAGCUUGAAAGAUGGCUUCGGCUAUCACUUUUGGAUGGUCCCGCGGCGUAUUAGCUAGAUGGUGGGGUAACGGCUCACCAUGGCAAUGAUACGUAGCCGACCUGAGAGGGUAAUCGGCCACAUUGGGACUGAGACACGGCCCAAACUCCUACGGGAGGCAGCAGUAGGGAAUCUUCCACAAUGGACGAAAGUCUGAUGGAGCAACGCCGCGUGAGUGAAGAAGGGUUUCGGCUCGUAAAACUCUGUUGUUAAAGAAGAACAUAUCUGAGAGUAACUGUUCAGGUAUUGACGGUAUUUAACCAGAAAGCCACGGCUAACUACGUGCCAGCAGCCGCGGUAAUACGUAGGUGGCAAGCGUUGUCCGGAUUUAUUGGGCGUAAAGCGAGCGCAGGCGGUUUUUUAAGUCUGAUGUGAAAGCCUUCGGCUCAACCGAAGAAGUGCAUCGGAAACUGGGAAGCUUGAGUGCAGAAGAGGACAGUGGAACUCCAUGUGUAGCGGUGAAAUGCGUAGAUAUAUGGAAGAACACCAGUGGCGAAGGCGGCUGUCUGGUCUGUAACUGACGCUGAGGCUCGAAAGUAUGGGUAGCAAACAGGAUUAGAUACCCUGGUAGUCCAUACCGUAAACGAUGAAUGCUAAGUGUUGGAGGGUUUCCGCCCUUCAGUGCUGCAGCUAACGCAUUAAGCAUUCCGCCUGGGGAGUACGGCCGCAAGGCUGAAACUCAAAGGAAUUGACGGGGGCCCGCACAAGCGGUGGAGCAUGUGGUUUAAUUCGAAGCUACGCGAAGAACCUUACCAGGUCUUGACAUACUAUGCAAAUCUAAGAGAUUAGACGUUCCCUUCGGGGACAUGGAUACAGGUGGUGCAUGGUUGUCGUCAGCUCGUGUCGUGAGAUGUUGGGUUAAGUCCCGCAACGAGCGCAACCCUUAUUAUCAGUUGCCAGCAUUAAGUUGGGCACUCUGGUGAGACUGCCGGUGACAAACCGGAGGAAGGUGGGGAUGACGUCAAAUCAUCAUGCCCCUUAUGACCUGGGCUACACACGUGCUACAAUGGAUGGUACAACGAGUUGCGAACUCGCGAGAGUAAGCUAAUCUCUUAAAGCCAUUCUCAGUUCGGAUUGUAGGCUGCAACUCGCCUACAUGAAGUCGGAAUCGCUAGUAAUCGCGGAUCAGCAUGCCGCGGUGAAUACGUUCCCGGGCCUUGUACACACCGCCCGUCACACCAUGAGAGUUUGUAACACCCAAAGUCGGUGGGGUAACCUUUUAGGAACCAGCCGCCUAAGGUGGGACAGAUGAUUAGGGUG